UACGUAGAGGGCAAGCGUUGUCCGGAUUUAUUGGGCGUAAAGAGCGUGUAGGCGGUUAGGUAGGUCCGUUGUGAAAACUCGAGGCUCAACCUCGAGACGCCGAUGGAAACCAUCUGACUAGAGUCCGGAAGAGGAGAGUGGAAUUCCUGGUGUAGCGGUGAAAUGCGCAGAUAUCAGGAAGAACACCCGUGGCUAAGGCGGCUCUCUAGUACGUGACUGACGCUGAGACGCGAAAGCGUGGGGAGCGAACAGG
rnacentral:rRNA from 1 species